UGGGGAAUCUUGGACAAUGGGCGCAAGCCUGAUCCAGCCAUGCCACGUGGAUGAUGAAGGCCUUAGGGUUGUAAAAUCCUUUCGUUGGGGACGAUAAUGACGGUACCCAAAGAAGAAGCUCCGGCUAACUUCGUGCCAGCAGCCGCGGUAAUACGAAGGGGGCUAGCGUUGUUCGGAUUUACUGGGCGUAAAGCGCGUGUAGGCGGAUUUGUAAGUUGGGGGUGAAAUCCCGAGGCUCAACCUCGGAACUGCCUCCAAAACUACAAGUCUGGACCUAAGUAGAGGCAAGUGGAAUUGCGAGUGUAGAGGUGAAAUUCGUAGAUAUUCGCAGGAACACCAGUGGCGAAGGCGACUUGCUGGACUUAUGGUGACGCUGAGACGCGAAAGCGUGGGGAGCAAACAGGAUUAGAUACCCAGGUAGUCCCUGAGCGGGCUGGCAAGGCGCAU
rnacentral:rRNA from 1 species